rnacentral:rRNA from 1 species
AGAGGAAGUAAAAGUCGUAACAAGGUUUCCGUAGGUGAACCUGCGGAAGGAUCAUUACAGAGAACAUUGCCCUCACGGGUGAUUCUCCAACCCUAUGUUAUUAAAACCUCUGUUGCUUUGGCGAGACGCUUCGGCCACCGGCUCCCGCUGGUGUGUGCUCGCCAGAGGACCACAAAACUCUUGUUUAUUAAUGUCGUCUGAGUACUAUAUAAUAGUUAAAACUUUCAACAACGGAUCUCUUGGUUCUGGCAUCGAUGAAGAACGCAGCGAAAUGCGAUAAGUAAUGUGAAUUGCAGAAUUCAGUGAAUCAUCGAAUCUUUGAACGCACAUUGCGCCCCGUGGUAUUCCGCGGGGCAUGCCUGUUCGAGCGUCAGUACAACACUCAAGCUCUGCUUGGUAUUGGACCGCAUCAGUACUGAUCGGUCUUAAAAUCAGUGGCGGUGCCAUCGUGCUCUAAGCGUAGUAAUACUCCUCGCUACAGGGUUCUCGGUGUGUGCUUGCCAGCAACCCCCAAUUUUCUAAGUUUGACCUCGGAUCAGGUAGGGAUACCCGCUGAACUUAAGCAUAUC